rnacentral:rRNA from 1 species
GGGCCCGCACAAGCGGCGGAGCAUGCGGAUUAAUUCGAUGCAACGCGGAGAACCUUACCAAGGCUUGACAUAUACCGGUAACGGCCAGAAAUGGUCGCCCCGCAAGGUCGGUAUACAGGUGGUGCAUGGUUGUCGUCAGCUCGUGUCGUGAGAUGUUGGGUUAAGUCCCGCAACGAGCGCAACCCUCGUUCUAUGUUGCCAGCACGUUAUGGUGGGAACUCAUAGGAGACUGCCGGGGUCAACUCGGAGGAAGGUGGGGAUGACGUCAAAUCAUCACGCCCCUUAUGUCUUGGGCUUCACACAUGCUACAAUGGCCGGUACAAUGGGCAGCGAUACCGUGAGGUGGAGCGAAUCCCAAAAAGCCGGUCCCAGUUCGGAUUGAGGUCUGCAACUCGACCUCAUGAAGUCGGAGUCGCUAGUAAUCGCAGA